UGUGGCGGAUGCAGGAUUGAGCCCCGUGGAGGCUCUCAUGUUCUUCUUCCUCGCCCCUGCGGCAACAAGAUAUGGUUUCUCAUAUCCUCUAUUCUGGUAGUAAAACAUUGCAAUAUAAACUAUGUGUUGGUUGAGGUGACCUUCUAGCCGAUAUUCUUUCAAUGAUGAAUUCUAGAUCUCAUUGCUAGCAAUGAGUGUUUAUUGCAAUCUUCAAAUCCUUAUGGGACGAGGGUGUACCAUUUGCAGAUGUUUUUUUCUUUCACUUGCUCCUUUUUCAGUGUAUUUUUCAAGUUUCGAUGGCUGCGAACAAUUGAAGAAAGAAGACGAUCAUAGAGGUCGCCGGUGCAAUUUUAUUUCUUAAGGUCAUUUUGUGUCAAAUUAUCCUUCUUUCUAAUGAUGGCUGCGAACAAUUGAAGGAAGAAGACAGAUCAUAGAGGUACUCUAUGAAGUGAAAUGAAAUAUUAGAAGACCGGAGAAAGUAUGAAUGGCACGCCUCCGUCAAUUUUAAAAAUAUAUUGACCUAAUCUCUUACUCGUUUAUUGAGAUAGGGUGUUAAGAAUAAAAAUUGUUGUUUUAGAUGGUAAACUAGACAAUUAUGCCCGUGCGUUGCUACGGGCAAAAUUGGUAUAAGUAUCAGAUACAUAUAGUUGUCCGUUAAUUUGUAGGGAUCUACGUGAUCGAGUCAUGAUGAAGGGCUUGUCCGACUCUCA